CUAACUUUAGUUUAUUUAGAAUGAGGAUUUUGGGGAUCUUUGGUCUCUUUAGAGAAGUUUGG
rnacentral:tRNA from 1 species